CUUAUUUUGAGCCCUUUGGAGAAGAUCUGUUUGCUGCUUUUGUUGUGGGGCUGAUGAGUAAACUAGAGGGAUGGAAAGAAAUUAGGUUUGUCAUCUGAUUUCUUGGAGCCUGGUGGAGAUAGAUGCCACCAUUCUACAAGGCAGGCCAUUUAUCUGCAUCCAGGUUGAGGCUUGCUACCAGCAGGAACAUGGAGUACUUCGUGUGCUACAGAGACAGAAUGAUCCAAGGACCUCCAGAGCCUUCUGACCAACUACCUGCGAUCUCUCCAGAGCACAGAG